rnacentral:rRNA from 1 species
UACGGAGGGUGCAAGCGUUAAUCGGAAUUACUGGGCGUAAAGCGUGCGCAGGCGGUUUGUUAAGUCUGUUGCGAAAUCCCCGAGCUCAACUUGGGAAUUGCAAUGGAUACUGGCAGGCUGGAGUAUGGUAGAGGAAGGUGGAAUUCCCGGUGUAGCAGUGAAAUGCGUAGAGAUCGGGAGGAACACCAGUGGCGAAGGCGGCCUUCUGGACCAAUACUGACGCUCAUGCACGAAAGCGUGGGGAGCAAACAGG